rnacentral:rRNA from 1 species
AUGAACGCUGGCGGCGUGCCUAAUACAUGCAAGUCGAGCGAACAGAUGAGGAGCUUGCUCCUCUGACGUUAGCGGCGGACGGGUGAGUAACACGUGGAUAACCUACCUAUAAGACUGGGAUAACUUCGGGAAACCGGAGCUAAUACCGGAUAAUAUAUUGAACCGCAUGGUUCAAUAGUGAAAGACGGUUUUGCUGUCACUUAUAGAUGGAUCCGCGCCGCAUUAGCUAGUUGGUAAGGUAACGGCUUACCAAGGCAACGAUGCGUAGCCGACCUGAGAGGGUGAUCGGCCACACUGGAACUGAGACACGGUCCAGACUCCUACGGGAGGCAGCAGUAGGGAAUCUUACGCAAUGGGCGAAAGCCUGACGGAGCAACGCCGCGUGAGUGAUGAAGGUCUUCGGAUCGUAAAGCUCUGUUAUUAGGGAAGAACAAAUGUGUAAGUAACUAUGCACGUCUUGACGGUACCUAAUCAGAAAGCCACGGCUAACUACGUG